rnacentral:rRNA from 1 species
UACAGAGGGUGUGAGCGUUGUCCGGAAUCACUGGGCGUAAAGGGCGCGUAGGCGGCUUGAUAAGCGUGCGGUGAAAGCCCGGGGCUCAACCCCGGGUCGGCCGUGCGAACUGUCGAGCUGGAGCACUGUAGAGGCAGGUGGAAUUCCGGGUGUAGCGGUGGAAUGCGUAGAGAUCCGGAAGAACACCGGUGGCGAAGGCGGCCUGCUGGGCAGUGGCUGACGCUGAGGCGCGACAGCGUGGGGAGCAAACAGG